UACGGAGGGUGCAAGCGUUAUCCGGAUUCACUGGGUUUAAAGGGUGCGUAGGUGGGCAGGUAAGUCAGUGGUGAAAUCUCCGAGCUUAACUCGGAAACUGCCGUUGAUACUAUUUGUCUUGAAUAUUGUGGAGGUAAGCGGAAUAUGUCAUGUAGCGGUGAAAUGCAUAGAUAUGACUUAGAACACCAAUUGCGAAGGCAGCUUGCUAAACAAAUAUUGACGCUGAGGCACGAAAGCGUGGGGAUCAAACAGG
rnacentral:rRNA from 1 species